rnacentral:SRP_RNA from 1 species
GUACAGACAGACCGUCUCAUUAUGACUCGCCGUCUGUGUUUGUUUCUUAGCGGAAGCUAUCAUUCAGACAUAGUUAAAGUUGGGGAUACAGGGCUAGACAGGCAACUGAGCAGCCUUACUUCUCACGGUGAGUGGAUAUAAGAUUGCGGUCUU